UCGAGCACUGACUUUCAGUGUUCGAAGUGCGCCACUGAAAAAACCAGCAGAAUUCAGUGCACUGAAAGUACCCGGAUGGUGCACUGCAAACGGGCAAAAAAUGUAGUGUAAAACGAUGGACACUACUCGCCCUAAACGGCCGCCAUCUUGGCGACGUAGCGGAAGAGGAGGAGCCCUUUCGCCAGCUUUUCAUUUUAUUUCUAAAACAAUGGCGGACAGCACAAGCGGUAGACCACGAAGCUACAGACCGUAAAUAGACGUUUCCUGGAGGUGCUGGUGCUGGUCCUCUGCUGCCCUCCCGACAUCUGCAUCUGGCUCCAAUGACCUCUGGCACAAACCUCACAUCCACCUCCAGGGCCUUUAAGAAGAUGGACCGCCAUCGCGUCUUCAGUAUCCCGAAGGACCUCUCCACAACACACCUCGCCUUUGACAGGUAGCGGUUGUAGAGUGCUUGGAGGUGGACAGGCUGCAUGAAGGGGGUCAUGAGGCAGAUGGGUUGGGACAGGCAGGGGGAGCCACCAUCCCCAAGGAUACAGUAUCCUGGUGGAGGGUAUGACUGCUCAUAGAAGAUGGGGCUGUUAUUCAGGACCCUGGCAGCAUGCACUGAGCCCGGGGCCUGUCGAAGGCCCUGGCCACCACCCGAUAGGAGGUGGCGCUGGCAAGCCAAAAAAUAAAAACUAGACAGGAGAUCUCGGGGCCCCAACCGUGGUCAGUCAGUGCCCAGCACAGCCAUGAGGGC